rnacentral:lncRNA from 1 species
AGCUUUGCCAAUGAUAAAAGUAUUUUUCAAUUGUCUUAUUGAUAAUUAAUUGUAUACUUUAAAUACUACUCCAAAACUUUAUUUAUAUGUUGUCGUAAUACAUGAAGUCUUACUUGAGAAUACUCUAGGCACUUGGCUGUGGAAGGUGGAAUGGAAAUUGCAACAAUAAAAUCUUAAUUCUAAUAAAACAUUAACAAUACUAAACAUACUUUAAACAAAUUUAGACAAACCUCAAAGGAAUUCGAAAGAAACAAUAAGAAAUCUUAAAGAAAUAUUAGAAUGAUUAGAAACAUAUCUCAAAUAAAUUUCAAUUUAAUCUUAAUUUAUUCCUAGUUGAAAUCUUAUUAGACUUCAUUCAAACUUUAGGCCAAAAAUUAACUAAAACUUAAAUCCUAAAUAAACUCAAAUAAAAUCCUAAAUCCUAAAUCAAAUCUUGAUCAAACCCUAAGCAAACUUUCAAUCCUAAAUAAAAUUCUAAAUCUUAAAUCAAAUGCUAAAUCCUAAAUCAAAUCCUAAACUCUAACCAAAUCCUAAAUUCUAAACCAAAUCCUAAUCUUAAAUCAAAUCCUAAUCAAAAUCCUAAAUCCUAAACCAAAUCCUAAUUCUAAAUCAAACCCUAACCAAAUCCUAACCAAAUCCUAAUCCUAAAUCAAAUCCUAAAUCAUAAAUCAAAUCCUAAUCCUAAAUCAAAUUCUAAAUCCUAAAUCAAAUCCUAACCAACCAUAAACCAAGUCCUAACCAAAUCCUAAUCCUAAAUCAAAUCCUAACCAAAUCCUAAAUCCUAAAUCAAAUCUUAAUCCUAAAUCAAACCCUAACCAAAUCCUAACCCUAAAUCAAAUCCUAACCAAAUUCUAA